GGGGGCGGGUAGUUGCCUGCAGGAGGCAGCCAAUGGUCAUGUGACCGGAAGGGCUCCUGACGGACGCCGUCCCUCCUUGGCACGGCCAGAGCGCCCGGCCCGACCCGAGCCAUGGGGUGCUGCUACAGCAGCGAGAACGAGGACUCGGACCAGGACCGAGAGGAGCAGAAGCUGCUGCUGGACCCUAGCAGCCCUCCAACCAAAGCCCUCAAUGGAGCUGAACCCAACUACCACAGCCUGCCUUCCGCUCGCACAGAUGAGCAGGCCCUGCUCUCCUCCAUCCUCGCCAAGACAGCCAGCAACAUCAUCGAUGUGUCUGCUGCAGACUCCCAGGGCAUGGAACAGCAUGAGUACAUGGACCGAGCAAGGCAGUACAGCACCCGCCUGGCUGUGCUGAGUAGCAGCGUGACCCAUUGGAAGAAGCUGCCACCGCUGCCACCUCUCACCAGUCAGCCCCACCGAGUGCUGGCCAGCGAGCCCAUCCCCUUCUCCGACUUGCAGCAGGUCUCCAGGAUAGCUGCUUACGCCUACAGUGCACUUUCUCAGAUCCGUGUGGACGCAAAAGAGGAGCUGGUUGUACAGUUUGGGAUCCCGUGAAGAGAGGGGUCCUGGGACAGCUCUUCUCCUCUCUUCACCCUGUCUCCACCCUGCCUCCCCUGGCCCCCAGCCUCACUGCGGCUUAUACAGUACCCUAACCUGCUACUAAUCACAGCGAAGAAUGUGGAGGAGGAGGAGAAGAGCAAGACUAGAAACCUGAACAAGUGAGGAUGGUGCAAGGGAGGGUAGAACCAUUUGGGACUGGCCUUUGAAGACCUGGCCAGGGGUGGGCUGGGGCCAGAAGGACAGGGCCUGGUAUGUCUUCACAGUCAUUGGGAAGAUGGAGAUACCACUUUGGAGGAGUGAUCACCAGGAGACCUAGGGGGAUCCCCUACCUACCCUUUCUCUUGGCCUCAGAGUCAUUCCUGCACCCUUCUCCCUGAUUUGGUGCUCACACGCACCUCACUAGGGUUUGUGACCAGGGUCUAGAAUGAGCUUGAAUUUGAAUGAAUUGAGUUUGUAUUUCUAGCACCCUGGGUUUUUAUAUGUUUGGUCUUUUUUUCUUUUUGUUUUGGUUUGUCACCCUCGAUAAAGGAAGUAUAUUCAUCUGUAAAAAAAAAAAAAAAAA